ACCAGACGUGGAAGUGGGUCCUUCACGAGGCUCCUCCAGGCCUGUCCUUCCCGGGCUCCGGCUGGCCCAGGCCCACAGUUCCUGGCGGCAGUUGGUGGCUCCGCCCUGCAUGGCCGGCACGUCAGACUCAGCACGUGCAAAGCUGAAUGCGUCAGUUUUCCCACGAAAGGAGAUCUUGUUUGGACACUCCCGGCCCCUCUCUCUCUCUCUCGGUUACCCAGAUGCAAAAGGCAGAAGCAGCCCUGGCCACCGUUCGUCCCCUUUGUACCCCGAGCAUAUACAGUUCUGGGGAGGAAGACCGGCCAGACUGUUCUGCAGGGGAAAUGUGAAGGGCAUAAGCUCUCCUCCUCGCCGC